rnacentral:rRNA from 1 species
GGCGUAGGGGGCCAGCGUUGUUCGGAAUUACUGGGUGUAAAGGGUUCGUAGGCGGUGUGGCAAGUCGGGAGUGAAAUCUCUGGGCUCAACCCAGAGUCUGCUUCCGAAACUGCUGUGCUUGAGUGUGGGAGAGGCGCGUGGAAUUGCAGGUGUAGCGGUGAAAUGCGUAGAUAUCUGCAGGAACACCCGUGGCGAAAGCGGCGCGCUGGACCACUACUGACGCUGAGGAACGAAAGCUAGGGGAGCAAACAGG